rnacentral:rRNA from 1 species
GACGAACGCUGGCGGCGUGCUUAACACAUGCAAGUCGAACGGAAAGGCCCUGCUUUUGUGGGGUGCUCGAGUGGCGAACGGGUGAGUAACACGUGAGUAACCUGCCCUUGACUUUGGGAUAACUUCAGGAAACUGGGGCUAUUACCGGAUAGGAGCUCCUGCUGCAUGGUGGGGGUUGGAAAGUUUCGGCGGUUGGGGAUGGACUCGCGGCUUAGCAGCUUGUUGGUGGGGUAGUGGCUUACCAAGGGUUUGACGGGUAGCCGGCCUGAGAGGGUGACCGGCCACAUUGGGACUGAGAUACGGCCCAGAAGCCUACGGGAGGCAGCAGUGGGGAAUAUGGCACAAUGGGCGGAAGCCUGAUGCAGCAACGCCGCGUGCGGGAUGACGGCCUUCGGGUUGUAAACCGCUUUCGCCUGUGACGAAGCGUGAGUGACGGUAAUGGGUAAAGAAGCACCGGCUAACUACGUG